rnacentral:rRNA from 1 species
GAUUUCUGGCUUGAAACAUUUUGCCGGCCACGGUUUCGUGUGUUAGUGCUUGGUGUUCUGGCCAUCCUUCCAAUCGCUAUUCAUUCUUCUUCAUUGAGGGGUGAGUGGUAUUGGAUCUUUUACUUUGAAAAAAUUAGAGUGUUUCAAGCAGGCUUUAUGCUAUGAAUACAUUAGCAUGGAAUAAUAAUCUAGGACUUUCGGUUCUAUUUUGUUGGUGUUCUGGAGCUGAAGUAAUGAUUGAUAGGGAUAGUUGGGGGUGCUAGUAUUCAUCGGCCAGAGGUGAAAUUCUUGGAUUCGAUGAAGACUAACUUAUGCGAAAGCAUU